UGGAACUUGAUUCUCUUGGUAUCUGCC
rnacentral:piRNA from 1 species